AUUUCAUUCCAUAAUUCUAUUCGAUUCCAUUCGAUGAUGAUUCCAUUCAUUUCCAUCCGAUGAUGAUUCCAUUCGAUUCCGUUCAAUGAUUAUUCCAUUCGAGUCCAUUCGAUGAUUCCAUUCGAUUCCAUUCGAUGAUGAUUGCAUUCGAGUCCAUGGAUUAUUCCAUUCCAUUCCAUUAGAUGAUUCCAUUCGGGUCCAUUCGAUGAUUCUCUUCGAUUCCAUUCGAUAAUUCCGUUUUUUUCCGUUUGAUGUUGAUUCCAUUCGAUUCCAUUCGAUGAUAAUUCCAUUCGAUUCUAUGCGAUGAUUCCAUUCCAUUCCAUUUGAAGAUGAUUCCAUUCGAGACCAUUCGAUGAUUGCAUUCAAUUCAUUCGAUGACGAUUCCAUUCAAUUCCGUUCAAUGAUUCCAUUUGAUUCCAUUUGAUGUUGAUUCCAUUCGAUUCCA